rnacentral:miRNA from 1 species
UGAUGGAGAUAGGUAUCUGCA